rnacentral:tRNA from 1 species
AGUGUGGUGGCCGAGCGGUUAAGGCAUUGGACUUAAGUUCCAACGUACAUUAGUCCUCGUGGGUUCAAAUCCCACCCACACUA